rnacentral:snRNA from 1 species
GUGCUCACUUGGGUGGCACAUAUACUAAAAUUGAGACGAAACAGAGAAGAUUAGUAUGGCCCUUGUACAAAGAUGACAUGCAAAUUCAUGAUGUGUUCCUUAUUUUU